UACGUAGGGCGCAAGCGUUGUCCGGAAUUACUGGGCGUAAAGGGUGCGCAGGCGGCUCCGCAUGUCGGGCGUGAAAUCCCCGGGCUUAACCUGGGAAUUGCGUCCGAAACUAUGGAGCUGGAGUGUGGCAGAGGGAGGUGGAAUUCCACGUGUAGCGGUGAAAUGCGUAGAGAUGUGGAGGAACACCGAUGGCGAAGGCAGCCUCCUGGGCCAACACUGACGCUCAUGCACGAAAGCGUGGGGAGCAAACAGG
rnacentral:rRNA from 1 species